rnacentral:misc_RNA from 1 species
UUCCGAGGAAAGAAAUGGCUCUGAUACCUUUAAUACAGCAAAUUUCUGAUUCUCUGUAACCUCCGAUUACAAAGAUGAUCGAAUCGAUGUUCAUAAAACACCCAAACAAUCCACUAGAUCUCGAAGUGAGAUUUCUAGCCACAAAAUGUUCUCAGAGAUUCUAAGGAAUUACAGAUAUUCGAUAAAAGUAAAGGAAUGAGCUAAAACAGUGCUCAUAUAGUCGGCUAACGGCAUCUUUCAGUCCCUCACUCUGCAGAUGACACGUGCUCGCCUCUUAUUCUUUCCCAAUUCCCACUUGAUGUCGCACGUGACUACUCACACGUGUGGUUUUGUAUCAUACUUGUUGGAUAAGUUGUGUUGUUUCACUGAAAAGUCACAAAUAGGAAGUGACACACCAACAAGUUUCAGUUCAAUAAAGGGUACAACGUCUAUCCGACCAGUUGAGCGAAGAAAUACUCCACCGAUCUCCGUCGAUGUCCAUAACCAGGAAGAAUCGGAAGAGAAGCCUCUCGUCUCUAAGAAAGGGCCACCUCUGUCACGCUAAUCGGAAUCCACACCACUCCAAUGCCGGAGAAGAUAGCUUGCCUCACUCCUGCUUCGUCUUGUAAAUCCAAGACCUACGAUAAAGAACAGAGGCGAAAACAAACUAGAUCUAAGAACUUGGAAAAAGCUUUAAAGAGAGAGAGAAAAAGGAACGGUAGAGGAACGAUUGUCCUUCCCGUUUGUGUUAUGUUGACUAAUUCAAUAUAUUUGGUUUAUAUCGAAUUUUUUACUUUAGUUGUACAUGAGCUUUGACAAAAAAAAAAAUUUUAAUUUAAAACAAAUUCUUCGUUAACAUCCCAAAUGGGCUUUGACAAAGAUUUGAUUUUCUUGUAUCAUUAUCUUCUAAGAAUAUAUGAUUUAGGCGUUUGAGUGUAGA